rnacentral:rRNA from 1 species
GACGAACGCUGGCGGCGUGCAUAAUACAUGCAAGUCGUACGCUUCUUUUUCCACCGGAGCUUGCUCCACCGGAAAAAGAAGAGUGGCGAACGGGUGAGUAACACGUGGGUAACCUGCCCAUCAGAAGGGGAUAACACUUGGAAACAGGUGCUAAUACCGUAUAACAAUCAAAACCGCAUGGUUUUGAUUUGAAAGGCGCUUUCGGGUGUCGCUGAUGGAUGGACCCGCGGUGCAUUAGCUAGUUGGUGAGGUAACGGCUCACCAAGGCCACGAUGCAUAGCCGACCUGAGAGGGUGAUCGGCCACAUUGGGACUGAGACACGGCCCAAACUCCUACGGGAGGCAGCAGUAGGGAAUCUUCGGCAAUGGACGAAAGUCUGACCGAGCAACGCCGCGUGAGUGAAGAAGGUUUUCGGAUCGUAAAACUCUGUUGUUAGAGAAGAACAAGGAUGAGAGUAACUGUUCAUCCCUUGACGGUAUCUAACCAGAAAGCCACGGCUAACUACGUGCCAGCAGCCGCGGUAAUACGUAGGUGGCAAGCGUUGUCCGGAUUUAUUGGGCGUAAAGCGAGCGCAGGCGGUUUCUUAAGUCUGAUGUGAAAGCCCCCGGCUCAACCGGGGAGGGUCAUUGGAAACUGGGAGACUUGAGUGCAGAAGAGGAGAGUGGAAUUCCAUGUGUAGCGGUGAAAUGCGUAGAUAUAUGGAGGAACACCAGUGGCGAAGGCGGCUCUCUGGUCUGUAACUGACGCUGAGGCUCGAAAGCGUGGGGAGCAAACAGGAU